GACGUAGGGCGCGAGCGUUGUCCGGAUUUAUUGGGCGUAAAGAGCUCGUAGGCGGCUUGUCGCGUCGUCUGUGAAAACCCGCGGCUCAACGGCGGGCUUGCAGUCGAUACGGGCAGGCUGGAGUUCGGUAGGGGAGACUGGAAUUCCUGGUGUAGCGGUGAAAUGCGCAGAUAUCAGGAGGAACACCGGUGGCGAAGGCGAGUCUCUGGACGACUCCUGACACUGAGGCACGAAAGCUGGGGGAGCAAACAGG
rnacentral:rRNA from 1 species